rnacentral:lncRNA from 1 species
UACUAGGCUUUGAAUUUCAUGGGUAAUGUUUUGUUUUUGAGUGCAUGCUAGCAUGAUUCCGCCUUUAAAUGUUAAUUGCAUGCUUAUAGAUGUUGCUCAAAUGAACAUGUUUUUCACAAAAUCAUCCUUCACUUUAAUGUGUUAAUAGUUUGCCUAUGUGUUCAAAUAUUCUCACAUGUUCUUAGCUAGGACAAAAUUUUUCCUUCACUUACUCAUACUACGAUUGCAUAAUUUAUAGGGUUUAAUUUGUGNUCAAAAGAAUGGUUGACUUUGAAGAAACCAUCUUUGACGUAGUCUUGGUUUCAAUUAAUUCGAAGAUAGCUAGCUACAACUAAAUGGUGAUUCAAUGUUUGAACAUAAUAUGGGUUUCCGAAACCAUUAUUAAGAUAGUCUUAAUAAUAUAUGUCUAAAACUAUGAAUCACAAGACAUGUAAUUUGUAGAGAUCUAUCCAUCAUGAAUCUAAGCAAGCUAGUGGGAGCUAUGAGCAUCUUAUGAGAAAAGGAUCAAAUCGUUUGAUUUCUCAUAAAGAUGUAAAUGAAUCUUUUGUUUACUAGGUUUACAAAAGAUUAGUGGGAGUUAAUCAUGUUCCUAAAAUUUAAAUAUAUAUUUGAUAUAUUAAUUUUGGAAAUGAAAAGAAUUCUUCUUCGUUAAAGUUAUGACUUUAAGACAUUAUAUGAAGAUAGAAUGUAUAUGGGAGAUAUAGUCUAUAUAGAUGGGAUGGAAAUCUAUAAUGAUAUAUUUCAUGAUAUAAUUGGAUUA